rnacentral:lncRNA from 1 species
GGUACAGCCAUAGAGUUCAGAAAACCAGGAUCCAGUGAUCUUGGAUAAAGGAAGCCAGAUGUCAUGUGUGGCGAGGCAGCCUAGAGAGAGGUCCCUAUGGUGAGAAACUGGGGCCCCGCUAACAGCCACCUAAGUGAGCUUGGAAGUGGAUCCUCUAGCACCUUAGGACUGCAGCCCUGGCCAGUAGUUUGACUGUCUCCUCAUGAGAGAACCUAUGCCAGAAUCACCAACUAAGCCUUUCCCAAAUUCCUGACCCACAGAAACUGUGAACUGGCCAUCUUGCCUGUUUUCAUAAAAGUCUGAAAUACGGAGGAGACCCUGAUUUAUAUUUUCCAUAGAAGAGAAGAGAGAUUGAGAUGACUCUCUUGCAGUGAGGUAUGGCGUGUCCUCUCCAUGACAAUGUGAGGGAAAGUGAUGUAUGCCACUUCCAGGUUCUAUGGAACCCUGGAAUGAAGAGGAUGCCAACCUUGAAAAGCUAUUCUAGUUCUUUCAAUGUGCCAUAAUGGUAUAGGAGCAAAUGUUUCUGCUGAGGUGAGGACACCAUGUUCCUCUACUGUUGUGGAUGCAGCCCUCACCAGACGACCGAACCUGCCAGUGCCUUGUUCUUGGACUUCCUAGCCUUCAGAACUGCCAGAAUCCUGCUAGGACAUCUCUGCCUGUGGAAGGAGGGCUGGAUGGCAUACUGGGAAUGGCUUUCUAGGAUGACUUCCUGUUGCUACAGACUACAAGAAGCAUUUCUGGCCUUGAUGUUGUCUGAAUGAAGAAGACAUAGGAGUUUCACCAAAGUAAUGAAAGCUGGCUGAGCAAAAACCCAGAGCAUAAUUUCUCACUGGCUGGCUGCUCCAGAUAGUAAUAGCUUCAGUGCCCUUCAGAGUGGAAUUUUCCUGAGCCUGUGAAGAUGUGUGAGGUGUACCCAGCAGGGCAUGAGAGCCACCACCGAGGAAGAAAAGAGAAAACUGCCUCUUCAUUCAUGCGUUUAUCUGGAAAGGGUGACCACUGCCAAUUCCGUCGUGUGACAGGAUCUAGUGUCUCUGCACAGCAUAAACAGAAACAGUCAAGGGGGAGAGGUGGAAUACAACCCGAGGCCGCAGGGUGGUAUGGUGUGGUUGUCACCGAAGUGCAGGCAUCCUUAACCAAAGGACAGGCCACACUGGUGGGCUGGAGAGGACUGCAGGCAGGGUGGAUUUAAAAUUAUGUUUUAAAUUACAUCCUCUUUUCAAUUCUUUUAAUCCUCAGAAGAAUCAAGGCAAGCCUCAGUUAAUCAGUAGCAUGGUUCAUGGUUUUAAUGGUUCUCUGGUAUUUGCCAAUCUUCCUUUUUUUUUUUUUUUUUUUUUUUGAGAUGGAGUCUUGCUCUGUCACCCAGGCUGGAGCGCAGUGGUGCAAUAUCGGCUCACUGCAACCUUGGCCUCCAAGGUUCAAACGAUUCUCCUGCCUCAUCCUCCAGAGUAUCUAGGACUACAGGUGCAUGCCACCAUGCCUGGCUAAUUUUUGUAUUUUUAGUAGAGAUGGGGGUUUCACCAUGUUGGCCAGGCUGGUCUUGAACUCCUGACCUCAAGUGAUCCACCCGCCUCGGCCUCCCAACAAUCUUCCCUUUUGACAAAGAAGCAGCAGGAUCCCCAGGCUUAGAGCCCCAGGUGGCUAACAUUAUCUAGUUAGAAUUUAGUAAUAGGACAUCCCCUGCCUUGUCUAAAUCCAUCUGGCCCUUCCCCUCUGGGGGGUUCAGAUAGGGAGGAUUGGGACCUUCUAUAAAUUUGCUUCUUGAAUAAACUUGACUGAAAACGUUAGUUUUAAGAGAAGGUUAAUAAUAGCACAGAUGGAAAGGGGAGGCAGAAGGAAAAUGGAUCUGUGACAGGCUGUACAAAUAAAUGACCCUCAGGAAACACUGGUGGGGUCUCUCCAGAAUCUGGACUAGAAGUCGGAAACCCCGGUCAAGGUUCCCAGUGCUGGUGGGCUCCUCCUGUCUCUAGACUAUCACAAUAACUGUUGGGGUCUCCACCUAACAAUCUUUAAAUUUCUUUUCAGGUCUGAAAUACUACAUUUCCAUGACAAUAUUUCUAAAAUACAACCCCUUCCCGGAAGACUGAUCAUAUCUGGUUAUUGACAAG